AGCCUGAUGCAGCGACGCCGCGUGAGGGAUGACGGCCUUCGGGUUGUAAACCUCUUUCAGCAGGGAAGAAGCGAAAGUGACGGUACCUGCAGAAGAAGCGCCGGCUAACUACGUGCCAGCAGCCGCGGUAAUACGUAGGGCGCAAGCGUUGUCCGGAAUUAUUGGGCGUAAAGAGCUCGUAGGCGGCUUGUCGCGUCGGUUGUGAAAGCCCGGGGCUUAACCCCGGGUCUGCAGUCGAUACGGGCAGGCUAGAGUUCGGUAGGGGAGAUCGGAAUUCCUGGUGUAGCGGUGAAAUGCGCAGAUAUCAGGAGGAACACCGGUGGCAAAAGCGGAUCUCUGGGUCGAUACUGACGCUUAAGAGCGAAAGCGUGGGGAGCGAACAGGAUUAGAUACCCUGGUAGUCCACGCCGUAAACGGUUCUUACUAGGUGUGGGCAACAUUCCACGUUGUCCGUGCCUCCCUUAACGCAUUAAGUGCCCCGCCUGGGGAGUACGGCCGCAAGGCUAAAACUCAAA
rnacentral:rRNA from 1 species